rnacentral:rRNA from 1 species
CUCCGGUUGAUCCUGCCGGACCCGACUGCUAUCAGAGUGGGACUAAGCCAUGCGAGUCAACAUAGCAAUAUGUGGCAUACGGCUCAGUAACACGUAGUCAACAUGCCCAGGGGACGUGGAUAACCUCGGGAAACUGAGGAUAAACCGCGAUAGGUCAUCACUUCUGGAAUGGGUAAUGACUUAAAUCUAUAUGGCCCCUGGAUUGGACUGCGGCCGAUCAGGCUGUUGGUGAGGUAAUGGCCCACCAAACCUGUAACCGGUACGGGCUCUGAGAGGAGGAGCCCGGAGAUGGGCACUGAGACAAGGGCCCAGGCCCUAUGGGGCGCAGCAGGCGCGAAACCUCUGCAAUAGGCGAAAGCUUGACAGGGUUACUCUGAGUGAUUUCCGUUAAGGAGAUCUUUUGGCACCUCUAAAAAUGGUGCAGAAUAAGGGGUGGGCAAGUCUGGUGUCAGCCGCCGCGGUAAUACCAGCACCCCGAGUGGUCGGGACGUUUAUUGGGCCUAAAGCAUCCGUAGCCGGCUACGCAAGUCUCCGGUUAAAUCCAGCUGCUCAACAGAUGGGCUGCCGGAGAUACUACAUAGCUAGGGAGCGGGAGAGGUAGACGGUAUUCUGUGGGUAGGGGUAAAAUCCACUGAUCCAUAGAGGACCACCAGUGGCGAAGGCGGUCUACCAGAACGCGUUCGACGGUGAGGGAUGAAAGCUGGGGGAGCAAACCGGAUUAGAUACCCGGGUAGUCCCAGCUGUAAACGAUGCAAACUCGGUGAUGCAUUGGCUUAUGGCCAAUGCAGUGCCGCAGGGAAGCCGUUAAGUUUGCCGCCUGGGAAGUACGGACGCAAGUCUGAAACUUAAAGGAAUUGGCGGGGGAGCA